UCAAAACGGGCUUAUAAAUUGACCUGAUAUCUUUACGGUCCUUGAUGUAAACGAAAGAGUUAUAAAGUAAACGAAACAAGAUCUAGUGCUUUAAACUGAAAUAGGAAAGAAAACUGCAAUCAUAUCCAGUUCAUCACGGUGCCGCAUCGUACUUUCUGGUCGAUACACGUUUAAUAUGAUCGAAGAAACGACCGUAUGUGUAAUCACAACAAUGAGCAAUCGUUCAAUGCCAGCGUUACAAUAACCAACGAUGCGGAGCGGACGAUAAUCAAAUUGGAUCGACAUUUCUCCAUCAUAGUGGAAUUCCAUUUGCACAACAAGUAACGUGUGAAUAGCUGUUGCUCGGAAUCUUGCCAUUUCGAAAGUGUCGGGCCUGCUGGGUCUUAUUCCGUUCGCUUUCGAUUGCCACAUGACGCUAACUACGGAGUCCGUAGUACGGACUUAGCACAAAACGAAGAAAGGCUCAUCAAGUGAGUGUAGGCCAUUUACGUCCCUACGGACGAUCUAGCCAAACCGGCUCUGGCUAACACAACUGCUUACAUCGACAGCAACGCUUUCGCGUGCCAUAGUCAGGCUGGACAUCUACCCGGAUGUCGAUUCGCUUGAUUCUUACGCGCGUUCCAUAUAACCGAACAAUAACGGCGCUGUUCCUAAAGUUUUCCAUGGCAGGAAUACAACUCACUCCAGAACAUCAUAGCUGUCCUGAUAAUGAAUGAGCACCAGCAAGAUGCUGAGCGGUGUGCUCGACAAUUUGCAUGAGGUUUUCGUCUACAUGUUCGGUUCGAUUUAACAAAUCGCCCAAAAGGCGAUGUGUCUGGCCAAAAGGCGAAGGAUGCUGUGUAAGAUCAACUCGGUCAACUUCAAACGAAGAAAAGAGAAUUUCGCCGGUAAUCACAGCGCCGUUUGCUUAAGAUGAGAAGCAUCUAGGAGGAAAUCCUUUCAAAUUUUCCUCAAAGCCCUUUGAAUGGAAUCUUGCUUCAGCUACAAAUCAUAUGUGUUAGUUGUAAGUGGAACAGAGCGGAAAGGGAGAGCCGCCAAGUUUGAUCCGACAUAACAUCAAUGUAGAUAUAGUGUUUAAGUUUUGUUUUGUGUUUAUUUCCUCAUCCAAAAUUAAUCAAAUAUUAGUUAAGCUCGACUGUGGCUUCAAUUAUAUGUAUUUCAUCUCAAUUCGUAUCGUAUGAUUCCUCAGUUUUUUUUUUUUACAACGGGUUUUAUUUUCUAAAUCUCCAAAACCCUCUCUCGCUCCUACAUUUAUACCCGAGAGGACUUUACCUCGACUUCCGUCUCGGAUGCCGCUACUUUUUUGGCAAGACUUAAACCACAAUCCGUGGAUACUGCGGGAGAGUCUUCGUCGUCGAUUGACGCUUCACGAUACGGUCCGUCUGCGUUGUCCCCGGUUGCUCGACCGUCUUCGUCAUCGUCCUCUACGCUUCAACUUCGCGACCGGUUUGCUUCCCUGAGAAAACGAAGGUUCUGUCUUCUCUCCCUAAACCGUACCUGUUGAAGCGCAGCGCGACAGCAGCGUUCGGCUCGACGCUCUUCCCGUUGGCGUACUAAUGCUGCUCGCCGGUUGGUGUAGUUUGUGUUUGUGGCUGUUUGUGAGUUCAAAAUAUUGCAAUGAAGUAGAUGACAAAUAUCGUUUGCAGCAAUAAACUUUGCACGUGCAUUACUUACACAGUUCAUUUUUAUGAGUGUUGCUCCGGGAGGCAGAUUGCUGGAAAUUUACGAAUCAUGCAACCAGCCAGCAUUACAGUUUGCUGCUUCUGUAACUACACUUCCUGCAUUUGAGCAGAACCUGACAAAGCGUUCCCGUUUGGCGAACGCUUCAAUUUCUCGAAGGAAAAUUUCCAUUUUAAAUCACGAGCUGUGCUCCAAUAAACUAAAAUAUUCACUCAAAUUGAUCUUCACCAAAUAUUGCAAAA